rnacentral:lncRNA from 1 species
AGCCUUCUUGAGAGCCUUGACCCCCUUGGCCACCUUCAGGCGCUUGGGCUUCACCCCGGAGGCGAUCUUAUAGUAGUUCAUCAUCGCCAGCACCCACUUGAACAUGCCCGCGGCGGGCUUGGAUACCGACUUGAUCUCCUCCAGGGUGAACUUCUUGUCCUUCAUGUACCCCUUGAUCAUCUUGAUUUGGUCCUUGGUGAUGCCGUCCUUCUCAAACUCCUUCAGGGAUUUGAUAAAGUUGAAGUCUGUCAUCAUGGCCUGCGCACCCUUCCAGCCGAUCUCCUCCUCGGGGACAGCCUUCAGGAUUUGCACACACUCCAGAACCUUCACGAUGACCUCGGCAGGGUUCGCGUAGGACUUGAGGUUGGUGAUGUCGUCCUUGUUGAUGUUCUUCAGCGCCUCCGCCGCCUCUUCGAGCGCAGGAAUAGCCGCCGCAAGGUCUGCCUCAGCCUCCUCCUUCUCCCUGGCGAUGCGCACGCUGUCCUCGGCGAGUUGCGUCUCCUUCGUCGCG